GGCUCUGGUGCUUGCAUCAUGAUUUACAUUUGAGUGAGUGGCGAACUGGUGAGUAACACGUGGGAAACCUGCCCAGAAGCGGGGGAUAACACCUGGAAACAGAUGCUAAUACCGCAUAACAACUUGGACCGCAUGGUCCGAGCUUGAAAGAUGGCUUCGGCUAUCACUUUUGGAUGGUCCCGCGGCGUAUUAGCUAGAUGGUGGGGUAACGGCUCACCAUGGCAAUGAUACGUAGCCGACCUGAGAGGGUAAUCGGCCACAUUGGGACUGAGACACGGCCCAAACUCCUACGGGAGGCAGCAGUAGGGAAUCUUCCACAAUGGACGAAAGUCUGAUGGAGCAACGCCGCGUGAGUGAAGAAGGGUUUCGGCUCGUAAAACUCUGUUGUUAAAGAAGAACAUAUCUGAGAGUAACUGUUCAGGUAUUGACGGUAUUUAACCAGAAAGCCACGGCUAACUACGUGCCAGCAGCCGCGGUAAUACGUAGGUGGCAAGCGUUGUCCGGAUUUAUUGGGCGUAAAGCGAGCGCAGGCGGUUUUUUAAGUCUGAUGUGAAAGCCUUCGGCUCAACCGAAGAAGUGCAUCGGAAACUGGGAAACUUGAGUGCAGAAGAGGACAGUGGAACUCCAUGUGUAGCGGUGAAAUGCGUAGAUAUAUGGAAGAACACCAGUGGCGAAGGCGGCUGUCUGGUCUGUAACUGACGCUGAGGCUCGAAAGUAUGGGUAGCAAACAGGAUUAGAUACCCUGGUAGUCCAUACCGUAAACGAUGAAGGCUAAGUUGUUGGAAGGGUUUCCGCCCUUCAGUGCUGCAGCUAACGCAUUAAGCAUUCCGCCUGGGGAGUACGGCCGCAAGGCUGAAACUCAAAGGAAUUGACGGGGGCCCGCACAAGCGGUGGAGCAUGUGGUUUAAUUCGAAGCUACGCGAAGAACCUUACCAGGUCUUGACAUACUAUGCAAAUCUAAGAGAUUAGACGUUCCCUUCGGGGACAUGGAUACAGGUGGUGCAUGGUUGUCGUCAGCUCGUGUCGUGAGAUGUUGGGUUAAGUCCCGCAACGAGCGCAACCCUUAUUAUCAGUUGCCAGCAUUAAGUUGGGCACUCUGGUGAGACUGCCGGUGACAAACCGGAGGAAGGUGGGGAUGACGUCAAAUCAUCAUGCCCCUUAUGACCUGGGCUACACACGUGCUACAAUGGAUGGUACAACGAGUUGCGAACUCGCGAGAGUAAGCUAAUCUCUUAAAGCCAUUCUCAGUUCGGAUUGUAGGCUGCAACUCGCCUACAUGAAGUCGGAAUCGCUAGUAAUCGCGGAUCAGCAUGCCGCGGUGAAUACGUUCCCGGGCCUUGUACACACCGCCCGUCACACCAUGAGAG
rnacentral:rRNA from 1 species